rnacentral:rRNA from 2 species
UGCUGGAGGUAUCAGAAGUGCGAAUGCUGACAUAAGUAACGAUAAAGCGGGUGAAAAGCCCGCUCGCCGGAAGACCAAGGGUUCCUGUCCAACGUUAAUCGGGGCAGGGUGAGUCGACCCCUAAGGCGAGGCCGAAAGGCGUAGUCGAUGGGAAACGGGUUAAUAUUCCCGUACUUGGUGUUACUGCGAAGGGGGGACGGAGAAGGCUAUGUUGGCCGGGCGACGGUUGUCCCGGUUUAAGCGUAUAGGUGUGUGUUCCAGGUAAAUCCGGUUCACUUUAACACUGAGGCGUGAUGACGAGGCGCUACGGUGCUGAAGCAACAAAUGCCCUGCUUCCAGGAAAAGCCUCUAAGCAUCAGGUAACAUCAAAUCGUACCCCAAACCGACACAGGUGGUCAGGUAGAGAAUACCAAGGCGCUUGAGAGAACUCGGGUGAAGGAACUAGGCAAAAUGGUGCCGUAACUUCGGGAGAAGGCACGCUGACAUGUAGGUGAAGUGAUUUACUCAUGGAGCUGAAGUCAGUCGAAGAUACCAGCUGGCUGCAACUGUUUAUUAAAAACACAGCACUGUGCAAACACGAAAGUGGACGUAUACGGUGUGACGCCUGCCCGGUGCCGGAAGGUUAAUUGAUGGGGUCAGCGCAAGCGAAGCUCCUGAUCGAAGCCCCGGUAAACGGCGGCCGUAACUAUAACGGUCCUAAGGUAGCGAAAUUCCUUGUCGGGUAAGUUCCGACCUGCACGAAUGGCGUAAUGAUGGCCAGGCUGUCUCCACCCGAGACUCAGUGAAAUUGAACUCGCUGUGAAGAUGCAGUGUACCCGCGGCAAGACGGAAAGACCCCGUGAACCUUUACUAUAGCUUGACACUGAACAUUGAGCCUUGAUGUGUAGGAUAGGUGGGAGGCUUUGAAGUGUGGACGCCAGUCUGCAUGGAGCCGACCUUGAAAUACCACCCUUUAAUGUUUGAUGUUCUAACGUGGACCCGUGAUCCGGGUUGCGGACAGUGUCUGGUGGGUAGUUUGACUGGGGCGGUCUCCUCCUAAAGAGUAACGGAGGAGCACGAAGGUUGGCUAAUCCUGGUCGGACAUCAGGAGGUUAGUGCAAUGGCAUAAGCCAGCUUGACUGCGAGCGUGACGGCGCGAGCAGGUGCGAAAGCAGGUCAUAGUGAUCCGGUGGUUCUGAAUGGAAGGGCCAUCGCUCAACGGAUAAAAGGUACUCCGGGGAUAACAGGCUGAUACCGCCCAAGAGUUCAUAUCGACGGCGGUGUUUGGCACCUCGAUGUCGGCUCAUCACAUCCUGGGGCUGAAGUAGGUCCCAAGGGUAUGGCUGUUCGCCAUUUAAAGUGGUACGCGAGCUGGGUUUAGAACGUCGUGAGACAGUUCGGUCCCUAUCUGCCGUGGGCGCUGGAGAACUGAGGGGGGCUGCUCCUAGUACGAGAGGACCGGAGUGGACGCAUCACUGGUGUUCGGGUUGUCAUGCCAAUGGCACUGCCCGGUAGCUAAAUGCGGAAGAGAUAAGUGCUGAAAGCAUCUAAGCACGAAACUUGCCCCGAGAUGAGUUCUCCCUGAGACUU